AACGCUCCGCACCGGGGAAGGAUGAGAAGCUUCGACUAAGGUUCGAGUCUCACGCAGUGAGACAACGCGCUUUAGCGCGGCCCGCAGGGUG
rnacentral:sRNA from 1 species